AUUGAACGCUGGCGGCAGGCCUAACACAUGCAAGUCGAGCGGAGCGGCGGACGGGUGAGUAAUGCCUAGGAAUCUGCCUGGUCGUGGGGGAUAACGUCCGGAAACGGGCGCUAAUACCGCAUACAAUCAGAUGAGCCUAGGCCGGAUAAGCUAGUUGGUGGAGUAAAGGCCUACCAAGGCGACGAUCCGUAACUGGUCUGAGAGGAGGAUCAGUCACACUUGAACGGAGAUACGCGCCAAAAUCUGACGGCAGGCAGCAGUGGGGAAUAUUGUACAAUGGACGAAAGCCUAACCCAGCCAUGCCGCGUGUGUGAAGAAGGUCUUCGGAUUGUAAAGCACUUUAAGUUGGGAGGCGUUACCAACAGAAUAAGCACCGGCUAACUUCGUGCCAGCAGCCGCGGUAAUAC
rnacentral:rRNA from 1 species